UACGGAGGGUGCGAGCGUUGUCCGGAAUCACUGGGCGUAAAGGGCGCGUAGGCGGCGCGGAUAGUCGGCGGUGAAAGCCCGGAGCUCAACUCCGGGUCGGCCGUCGAUACUUCCGGGCUUGAGCACUGUAGAGGCAGAUGGAAUUCCGGGUGUAGCGGUGGAAUGCGUAGAGAUCCGGAAGAACACCGGUGGCGAAGGCGGUCUGCUGGGCAGUUGCUGACGCUGAUGCGCGACAGCGCGGGGAGCAAACGAGG
rnacentral:rRNA from 1 species